AAUCUUGCCAGUAGUCAUAUGCUUGUCUUAAAGAUUAAGACAUGCAUGUUUAAGUAUGAACUAAUUCAAACUGUGAAACUGUCGAUGGCUCAUUAAAUCAGUUAAAUCAAUUAUAUUAUAAUUUACAAAACCUUUUAUAGUUUUGGAACUUUUGUUUCAAUUCAUAUAAGAAUUCUCCAGGUUUCAGACUGGUAUUCCUUCAUACUUUUGUUGUGUAUAAAAUCUACAUUAAUAAUGAGU
rnacentral:ncRNA from 1 species